AAUUAAUAAAUUAUACAUGGCCUAAUGACCAAGGAGCUUGCAUCCAUGACACAAGUAUACAGUGGAAGUGACCACAAGAACUUGUGUGUCAAAGCGGCUUAUCGACCUGUUCGAGAAUUGAUUCAGCAGGAGAGGUUGACAAAUCUCGUGAGUCAAGAGAGAAGAAGCUGGUAAGAGCACUGAAGAUGUUUCAGAGACAAAAAAGAAGAGAAUCAGGAAAGAGUUGUUACUUUGAGGCCUUUAAACAUGGAAGAUAUGAGACAAGCUAAGAAUCAGGUUACCGUCAGCUUUGCUUAUGAAGGAUCGGUAAUGGAGGAGCCGAAGCAAUGGAAUGAACUAUAUGGAGAAGGAGGUUCAAGGCAGAAACAACAGUUCACUUACUUCCUCUAGAUUUGUCAAAAGCAAAGGUUCUUUGUAGGAACAGUUCACUUACAUCAUGUUUUGAACAGGGUUAUUCGAGAAAGGAUUCCUUGGCAUUAUCUUGGGGUAUUUUCCUCGUGUUUAUGUGAAGUACGUAGUAUGGGGAAAUGCCUAGGGGUUUGAGUCCUACAUGGAUUGUUUGAGAUUUCUGUAGUUUAGCAUAUAACAACAGCGUCUAAUGUAGU